GCGGUGGCCUCCGGGGGGCGAAAUAGACAGGCUGAGUGGUGUGGUGGGGCACAUACGAGAAAGGAGAGAGUCCCCUCGUUUUCCCCCCACUCUUUCCAUUUUCGAUGACUAGUCAUGGGCGGCGCGCGCGCGGCAACGGGAAAGUGGCG
ensembl:ncRNA Y54G2A.69 ncRNA